AUUGAACGCUGGCGGCAGGCCUAACACAUGCAAGUCGAGCGAGUGGCGGACGGGUGAGUAAUGUCUGGGAAACUGCCUGAUGGAGGGGGAUAACUACUGGAAAAGGUAGCUAAUACCGCAUACCAUCAGAUGUGCCCAGAUGGGAUUAGCUAGUAGGUGGGGUAACGGCGCACCUAGGCGACGAUCCCUAGCUGGUCUGAGAGGAUGACCAGGCACACGGGAACUGAGACACGGUCCAGACUCCUACGGGAGGCAGCAGUGGGGAAUAUUGCACAAUGGGCGCAAGCCUGAUGCAGCCAUGCCGCGUGUAUGAAGAAGGCCUUCGGGUUGUAAAGCACUUUCAGCGAGGAGGCGUUACUCGCAGAAGAAGCACCGGCUAACUCCGUGCCAGCAGCCGCGGUAAUUC
rnacentral:rRNA from 1 species